UGUUUUCCUGCUAACUCUAUACAUUCAGAUUCUGGUUAUGAGGGCAGUAACAAAUCCUCAGGAAUUUGCUGCUCUAAAGUCUCUCAAGCAUCACUGGCGGAACACACCACCCGACUGGGUUGGUGAUGAUCCUUGUGGCAGUUCCUGGGAAGGAAUUAGGUGUGACAAUUCAAGUGUGACCUCUAUUGUACUAUCAGGCAUAGGCUUGAGAGGGAAACUGCCUGCUGAUACUCAGAAUCUACCUGAAUUAAGGA